AUUGAUAAUAGCAACAAUAAGGCUGAAACGCGAACCUGCAGACCGACUGUUCAGCGAGGACCUGUUCUGACUGGUGCCGGCCGGGAAACCAGGAAGGAAACAUGCUGGGGAUAAACACGAAGGGACAUGGCUUCCGAAUGUGGUUUUUCCCUCGAUGGCUUCCUCCCCAGGGAACUGGUUUCAGAUGGUGUCUUAGAGUAUAAAGUCCCAUCUAGCACCAUUUGAAAUCGGUGUUCUUGAGCGGGAACAGACUUCAUCCACUUCAGUUGCCAGAACGUUUAGGAUUUAGUGGCAUUGUUUGCAUCCAACCUUUUUACAAAAAUAUUCCAGGUGGUAUAUACAAUCAGUUUAUACAACCAUGUGUCCACUGCUUCAGUCCUACGCUCCAGUGACCAGAAGAAAAAAAGAAAAGUGCUGGAAGUCCAAUCUCCUGACCAGCUGGUCGCCCUCUUACCAAGGCUGACCGUUUUCGUCUGGUGUUCAGAGUUUCCAUCAUGUCUAGCACCAUUUGAAAUCGGUUAGCAUGUGGAGGGAAUACCAACCAGGCUUUUGCUUCAGCAGUCGCAUGAGGAAGUUCCUUAAAGUACCAGAAGAUGGCAGCAUUGAGCUGCAAUUCACGCUAUCAUCAAGUUAGUUAUUUUCUUUCUGGGAUCAUUGAAGCGGUGGAGAUUUUACUGGAUAUCCCUGAAGCCUGUUCCUUUGACUUCCCUGUUUGCUUUUUAUUUUUUACUUUACAGAACUCCGUUUCUGCUUUAAUCAUGUUGCCGUCACUCAGCCGUGCUGUGUGUUCCAGCUGCACUUAUCUUCUUCUGUACAGAUGUUAAACAAUAUCUGGCUCAACGCUUCACUAGUUCACGGUUUGUGUAUCCGCCCAUUGCAGACCUGCCAAAUUAUUUCUAUAUUUAAAUAUACAAACAUUGUGCACAUUUUUGUCUAAUUACCAUAUGUGCGGAAUCUUCCAUCAUUAAAGCAAAGCUGGUUUCACUCAAAGUCGAGCAGUCUUUUAUUUAUUAAGUCUCAUUAAAUGAAGCUAUGUUUUUGUUUUUGUUUAAAUAAAAAUGUAACAAAUGG